AAAAACAAACAAACACGGCUGGCUUCAUCAACAAGUUCACAAGCUGUGCUUAUCGUGCGUCCCCUCCAGUUGAUAUCGAAAUGGCGAGAAAGUGGAAGGAGACGGCUGUGAACACGUGACUACACAAAACACUGGACGUCUGGUUGCAGUCAAACAUCCUCUCACCGGAAGAGGCGGAAAGACGCCAUUACUGGUGUCAUCCAGCUGGUAGUAGGCGAUAGCUGUGUCCAGAUCUGGUGGGUCCUCGCCCGUCUCUGGUGGGAAACCAAACUGACAGUCUUUAUUGAGGGGCGCCAUCAGCUGUCUGCGGCUCCGCCUGCACAAGACACAGCAGCCUGCGGUGUCCUGCCACACGUCAAACUCCAGGUUCCUGUACACGUCUGGAUCCAGAGACUUGAUGACUUUAUACGGCAGAGACAGUUUGGUGGGGAGCACAGCUUCUGAGGGCUGGACCACAGAGACACGUUGUUAGCUGAUCAGUCCACUGACACGGACCAACAGCAUCGUCCACCCAUGCGGGCACUCUCCAUGGCCUGAUAAAGCUCCGCCUCCUCCACGUUGAACACCUGUGUGUAGAUCACCUCAUACAACAGAGCUGAGUGUACACACACACACACACACACACACAGACAUAAACGAAU